rnacentral:lncRNA from 1 species
UGGACCUUCUAGUUACGACCAGCCUGACAUACAAACAACUUGGGCUAAUUAGGUUAAUGGAAGAUUCCUCUGCCUCUUGUCAUCUAGAGUGUGUACCCAGAUUUUCUGGGUCCAGAAACUGGGCACAGGUUUAUCUGGAUGCCUUCACCUCAAGGUCUCUCACAAGCCACUGGGCUUCAAGUCUUAAAUGUUUAACCGAAGAAAGAGCCACUUCCAAGCUCAACUUGAGGCAUGGGUUGCCAGAAUAGGAGAAAAGGAAGCAGAAAUCACUAUAAAGAAGCGCAGAGGCUGGAGAAAGAUCAGUGCAUUCAGGGAAACCUAUUUGUUCCUUGGAAGUCUUAGUCCUUUUCAAAGGUCCAUCGGCUCAUUUCUGGGGACUUGAGAAUAGAAUCUCAUCUCUGCACUACCAAUAGCGCGGACUUCUUUUUUUCAAAUAAACAAGAUUACAAGAUUCUAAAUUUACUAAAAUCUUUCAUGACAUGUAAACCUCUUCAGUUCGGGGUUUUGUUAUUGACAAUGAACAAUUCAGUCUCCAAAGUAUUUUUAAAGUAUGUUUUGUUGGAACAAGCUGUGUGGUUUUCCUUUCAUCUGUCUUUGUUGUGUCAGAAGAUUUUCAUUCAGAAUGAAUCUUCCUUUUGUCUGAUUAUUGGCUUAAUUCAUCAAAGAAGCAUGAUUCAGGUAUAGGUCACUGCUUAGAAAUCAAGUCCUAGAUCACUCCUUGGAAAUCAAUUUAUGAAGAGAGGGCUCAGCCUUACAGCUGUCCCUGUCAGAACCCCAGACAUUCGAGGGAGUUUAUCCUGCGUGUCCCAGGCUCACUGGGGCUGCCAGCCCAAUGGACCUGAGUGGGUGACUCCAACUGAUGCCAUGAGAAGAACAGCACCCAACUACGCUCAACCAACCUGGAGAAUUGAGCAAAAUAAAUCAAAACAUGCAAAGCCUGCAGAGGUGAACAUUACUUCACAGAAGCGCCUACCACAGAGUGGUGGCUAUUUCCCUUCUCACCAGCAAUUUCAGCUUCCCAGUUGUAGUGUUCAGCUCCGUUUUACAUCAAUAGUGAUUCCAUGCAGAGCCGAAGCUCUGAACGCGAGAAGGGGUCUUCGGCAGUGCCUAGAUCAAUGGUUCUCAAAGCAUGUCCCCUGGACCAGUGACAUUAGCUUCACCUGGAAACUGAUUACGAUCCUUCUGAAUCCAAAACCCAAAGGUAGCCCAGCACUGUUUUAAAGUCCUCCAGGUAUUUGCAUCAUACCACAGUGGGAGAGCCAGUGACCAGGUGUCAUCUGUGAUGAGGGCAUUUGAGGUUAGAUUCUCUA